rnacentral:misc_RNA from 1 species
AACGCACCUUGCGCUCCUUGGUAUUCCGAGGAGCAUGCCUGUUUGAGUGUCAUGGUAUUCUCAACCCUGCUACAUUUUUUGUAGCUGGGCUUGGACUUGGAGGUAUUGCCGGUGUUCUCUUUUGAACGCGGGCUCCUCUGAAAUGCAUUAGCUGGAAUGUUACCGAGCAUGAUUCAAUGUGAUAAUUGUCUACGUUGCUUCAACUUGGUAUUAAUUCUGUUUCAGCUUCUAACCGUCCGCAAGGACAAUAUCUUGAACAUCUGACCUCAAAUCAGGUAGGACUACCCGCUGAACUUAA